rnacentral:rRNA from 1 species
AUUGAACGCUGGCGGCAGGCCUAACACAUGCAAGUCGAACGAGUGGCGGACGGGUGAGUAAUGUCUGGGAAACUGCCUGAUGGAGGGGGAUAACUACUGGAAACGGUAGCUAAUACCGCAUACCCUAAGAUGUGCCCAGGUGGGAUUAGCUCGUUGGUGGGGUAAAGGCUCACCCAGACGACGAUCCCUAGCUGGUCUGAGAGGAGGACCAGCCACACUGGAACUGAGACACGGUCCAGACUCCUACGGGAGGCAGCAGUGGGGAAUAUUGCACAAUGGGCGCAAGCCUGAUGCAGCCAUGCCGCGUGAAUGAAGAAGGCCUUCGGGUUGUAAAGUACUUUCGGCGGGGAGGCGUUACCCGCAGAAGAAGCACCGGCUAACUCCGUGCCAGCCGCCGCGGUAAUUC